UUAUUGCUCUGAUUGAAUCAGAAAAGGAGUGGUCUAACUUUGCAACUUCUUUUUCAAACUUCAGAUCGUCCAAAUGAAAUAAAAACAAAUGGAUUUCAGAGUCAAGCAGAAAAAACACAUAAUAAAAGCAAAAGCAAUCAGGAUUUCAUUAAAAAGAACAUUGAGCUGUCAAAGGAUUCAGGAAACCAGGUUGCUUUGCUUGAGGAAGAAAAGAAAAGGUUGAUUGAGCUACUGAAAGAUACAGAAGAUGGAAGUGAAUUACAGGGUCUUGAGGAAGAUACAUCUGGCUGGCUAGUACCAGGAGAAGGGUACACACCUGAACCAAUGGAAUUUCAUCACCUAAAUGAAAUAGAUAUUAAGCUUCAGGUGCUAUCUGAUGGGGAUUUUUCUGCAAUUCACAGCUCUUGCUCAAAACCUCCAAGCCAGAUUUAUCAGGAAUCUCUGGCUUACGCAAACAGAAGACUGGAAGCAGUUCCAGGUGAGAAGGUUCUGCGAUACAAUAAGGAGCACCGUGAUCAGCAAAACCGUCUGAAAGAAAUAGACCAUCAGCUGAAAUCCCUGGAGGGAAAUCUUGUCACUCCACUACACCUCACCUCAUGUAUGCUGUGCAACAUGGUUUCAGCUGGGCCUGUGCACAAAACAAGGCUGGAAGACAGAGACUUUAAUGUACUUUACAAUAUUAACAUAAAAAUCAGAAAAUCUGCUUAAGUAUUAUGUUUGAAGUAACGAAACUGAGGCCUUUGCAACUUGAGGUCUUCCUUUACUUUUAUUAAAAAAAGUCCUCAGUGAAUUAAUAUACCAAAG
rnacentral:lncRNA from 1 species